UACGAAGGGGGCUAGCGUUGCUCGGAAUCACUGGGCGUAAAGGGUGCGUAGGCGGGGCUUUAAGUCAGGGGUGAAAUCCUGGAGCUCAACUCCAGAACUGCCUUUGAUACUGAGGAUCUUGAGUUCGGGAGAGGUGAGUGGAACUGCGAGUGUAGAGGUGAAAUUCGUAGAUAUUCGGAAGAACACCAGUGGCGAAGGCGGCUCACUGGCCCGAUACUGACGCUGAGGCACGAAAGCGUGGGGAGCAAACAGG
rnacentral:rRNA from 1 species